rnacentral:rRNA from 1 species
UACGAAGGGGCUAGCGUUGUUCGGAAUCACUGGGCGUAAAGCGUACGUAGGCGGAUUGUUAAGUCAGGGGUGAAAUCCCGAGGCUCAACCUCGGAACUGCCUUUGAUACUGGCUGUCUUGAGUCCGGGAGAGGUGAGUGGAACUCCUAGUGUAGAGGUGAAAUUCGUAGAUAUUAGGAAGAACACCAGUGGCGAAGGCGGCUCACUGGCCCGGA